rnacentral:tRNA from 1 species
GGGCCGCUAGCUCAAUGGCAGAGCGACGGACUUUUAAUCCGUUAGGUCCGGGUUCGACCCCCGGGCGGCCUAC